rnacentral:rRNA from 1 species
GACGAACGCUGGCGGCGUGCUUAACACAUGCAAGUCGAACGGGAUUUCGUAAACAGAAACCUCGGUGGAAGAUUACUAAUGAGAGUGGCGAACGGGUGAGUAACGCGUGAGCAACCUGCCUAUGACAGUGGGAUAGCCUCGGGAAACCGGGAUUAAUACCGCAUAAAAUCGUAGAAACACAUGUUUUAACGGUCAAAGAUUUAUCGGUCAUAGAUGGGCUCGCGUCUGAUUAGCUAGUUGGUGAGAUAACAGCCCACCAAGGCGACGAUCAGUAGCCGGUCUGAGAGGAUGAACGGCCACAUUGGAACUGAGACACGGUCCAAACUCCUACGGGAGGCAGCAGUGGGGAAUAUUGCACAAUGGGGGAAACCCUGAUGCAGCGACGCCGCGUGAACGAAGAAGGUAUUCGUAUCGUAAAGUUCUGUCCUAUGGGAAGAUAAUGACAGUACCAUAGAAGAAAGCUCCGGCUAAAUACGUG